UUCAUCCUCUUCUUCUUCUUCUUCUUCUUCUCUUUCUCUCUUUAGUUUGGUUUAUUUGUAAGUGAAGUUUGGGGUUGAAUUAAAGGAGGAAGAAUUUAGGUGAUAUGGUGUUGACAGAAGAUAGAGAGCACAGAUGAUGAUAUGCAAAUUUCUGUAUCUCACUCCAUUUGUGCUCUCUAUGCUUCUGUCAUCACCCUCUUCACCCUCCUUUAACAUCCCAUCUUCACUUUAGUUUUGUGUUUGAUUCUAUGUAAAAGGGUUUUAAAACUCUCAAGCAUUGUCUCUAUGAUUCUUUGUAUAUAUCCAUGAGCAAUUAGUUGUGUUUGUAGCCCUAAGAAGUGUGCUGAUUUGUGUUGCUGGUGUGUUUUGUGUUGCAGUCCAAAUUGGGCAAGGGGAUUAAGAGAUUUGAGGCACAUAAUGUAAUGACCUGAAGCCACCACUAGUAGAUAUUGUGAGAUCUUAUAUAUAAGAACCAACCGACCCGUUAGAUAAAUUUUCAAAAAAAGUAACCUUUUGGAUACGUUCGGCAAGUUAAGAAAGUUCCAUGAAUACACUUGGAAAUGAUGAACAAGAAGAAGAUGAUAUGCCAAAUGAUAUUAAGAGAGUAAAGUGAGUAUUCCUCGAAGGGGGAAAUGAGGCAUGCACUGCCCACUUGCUUGAUUGAUUUGUGGUGCCAAAAUUGAUUCAUUCAAUGUUGUUAUUCAUAUUAUCCAAUUGAUUUUGUAAUAAUAAGGCCUUUCACGUUAACAUGGAGGGAGCUUUCUUUAAAACUAUUAGGGUUUUGUUCAUUACACAAAAUAGUGAAAGAUUUGGAACUUU